AUUACUUUUAUAAUUAUUAUCAUUGGUGUCCUUGUUAUUUGGAUAUAAGAGAAUUGCCAGAAGAUGAUAUAUAGUCUCAGAUUUUAUUUUGAAAUAUACAUACUUUGGAUCUACUUGAGAGCUAUGAAAAAUUCAACCAACAAGAGGAGCUCAAAUCAUCACCAUCAUAGUCAUUCUUAUGAACAGGCGGAGAUAAAUUCAUUAUGGAUUCCCUCGAUGCCAACAUGGAAGAAUGGUUUUACUUUUCAUAUCUUUCUUAUUUUGCUAUACUUUAAAUUUUUGUGCUUAAUAUAUUUUGAGACAAUAUAUUUCCACUUGUUGGGUAAAUAAU
rnacentral:lncRNA from 1 species